GGGUUCGUAGCUCAAUCCGGGAGAGUACACGGCUGAAGCCCGUGCUGUUGGGGGUUCAAAUCCCUCCGAACCCA
rnacentral:tRNA from 1 species